AGUAGGGAAUUUUCGGCAAUGGGGGCAACCCUGACCGAGCAACGCCGCGUGAAUGACGAAGUACUUCGGUAUGUAAAGUUCUUUUAUCAGGGAAGAAUGGGCAGUGGAAAAACUGUUUUGACGGUACCUGAUGAAUAAGCCCCGGCUAACUAUGUGCCAGCAGCCGCGGUAAUACAUAGGGGGCAAGCGUUAUCCGGAAUUAUUGGGCGUAAAGGGUGCGUAGGCGGUUAUUUAAGUCUUUGGUGUAAGUGCAAGGCUCAACCUUGUGAUGCUAAGGAAACUGGAUGACUUGAGUGUGAUAGAGGUAAGUGGAAUUCCAUGUGUAGCGGUAAAAUGCGUAAAUAUAUGGAGGAACACCGGUGGCGAAGGCGGCUUGCUGGGCCACAACUGACACUGAGGCACGAAAGCGUGGGGAGCAAACAGGAUUAGAUACCCUGGUAGUCCACGCCGUAAACGAUGAGUACUAAGUGUAGGGGAAACUCUGUGCUGUAGUUAACGCAAUAAGUACUCCGCCUGAGUAGUACGUACGCAAGUAUG
rnacentral:rRNA from 1 species